GAUGAAGAACGCAGUGAAAUGCGAUAAGUAGUGUGAAUUGCAGAAUUCAGUGAAUCAUCGAAUCUUUGAACGCACAUUGCGCCCCUUGGUAUCCCGAGGGGCAUGCCUGUUCGAGCGUCAUUUCACCACUCAAGCCUGGCUUGGUGUUGGGCGACGUCCUCUUUGGGGACGCGCCUCGAAACGCUCGGCGGCGUGGCACCGGCUUUAAGCGUAGCAGGAUCUUUCGCUUUGGAAGUCGGGGCCCCGUCUGCCGGAAGACCUGCUCGCAAGGUUGACCUCGGAUCAGGCAGGGAUACCCGCUGAACUUAAGCAUAUCAAUAAGCGGAGGA
rnacentral:misc_RNA from 1 species